UGUGCUUAACUCAGUUAUGUACUGUUCUGUUCCUAAAACUGCUUUCAUAUAUCUGCUAAAUGCGUGAUAAAUAUUGUCCACGGUCUUUAUCUUCAUUCGACGAGGGAGAAUUAUCUUUGCUGCUCUGUGUUAUCUCCAUAGUGUUACAGUGUAACUUAACAGACAGCAAAGACCAAAGUGGCAGGCCAUGCUGCACAGUGACUGAAAGAAGUCCCUGAUGAAGGCGACUUUGACUCUGCGGCAGAGGCGACACCUUUUCCUGAAAUACGGGACAUCCCCAAAAUUUAGUGUAUCUAGCCGGAGUCGACAGGGCUGUCCAGUCUCCCCAUAUCUUUUUCUCAUUCAUUGCCUCACUGCCUACUUGUUGGAAAUUCAACUUCUACAACAGCAAUGCACUUUACGGCUUUGGCUGAGAACCAUAUUGGAACAUAUUCACAGGGGAGCAUGUGCCGGAGCACCGUGGGGUGGAGUGGUCAAGUGCGCUGUUCCCGCUUCUGAAUCUUGCAGCGGUUCCAUUCUUGAAUUGGACAUGAAUAAAUAUUAUUUGUAUUAUUUCUAACAGUAUCAUGCCCUCGUCCAGCAGCCAAUUGGUGACACCUGCAGCCAAUCCGGGGAACACAGCUUAAAAGGACAGCCCCUCAUCGCGGAACCUUGGAUAGAAAACUGUAGUGCUGGUCUCUUUUGCUUCCUGAUUGUGUUGCUCCAGUCGUUUACCUUGGAUUGUUUCUGGACCACGAGUAUUGCCUUUUCCUUUGUAUGACAUCUGCCAGUCGAUCGACCCCCGAACGACUCAACCAUUCUUGUGCUUAGUCUUUUCAAUAAACGAAAUGAA